rnacentral:ncRNA from 1 species
CUGUACCAUUCGCCCGUUUUUUUCACUUUGAGGAUACACAUUUUGGACAGUCACAGUCGAUACUUAUCAGUUUUUUAACCCACCUCGUCCAAAACCUCUUUGCCGAUGAGCGUCG